rnacentral:lncRNA from 1 species
AAGAGAGUCCUAAUUGAGAGGGACAUUCUAUUAGGACUCUAGCUAGGAGAGUCCUAAUUGAGAGGGGCAUUCAUGUAGGAGGUUUUUUCUUAGAGAAGAAUUAGGAGUUGUAAGGGAAUAGGAGUCUUGAGUAGGAGUCCUAUUAGGAGUUGGUUAGAAGUAAGAGUCUUAAGUAGGAGUCCUAUUAGGAGUUAGGGUUUAGAAGCCCUAUAAAUAGUCAUGUAUUCCUUCUCUUUU